rnacentral:rRNA from 1 species
GAUGAACGCUGAAGGCGCGCAUAACACAUGCAAGUCGAACGAUUAAAAAACCUUCAGGUGUGAAACCAAUAAAGAACGGAUACAACACAAGUGGACACCCUGCCCCUAUCAUUGGGAUAGCCACGGGAAACCGUGGAUAAUACCGAAUACUUCGGGACUUCCGCAUGGAAGACUCGAGAAAGCUCCGGCGGAGAGGGAUGGGCCCGCGGCCUGUUAGCUUGUUGGUGGGGUAAUGGCCUACCAAGGCAAUGAUGGGUAGCUGGGUUGAGAGACCGACCAGCCAGAUUGGGACUGAGACACGGCCCAGACUCCUACGGGAGGCAGCAGUGGGGAAUCUUGCACAAUGGGCGAAAGCCUGAUGCAGCGACGCCGCGUGCGGGAUGAAGGCCUUCGGGUUGUAAACCGCUUUCAGCAGGGACGAGGCGAAAGUGACGGUACCUGCAGAAGAAGCCCCGGCUAACUACGUG